rnacentral:rRNA from 1 species
UGGGGAAUAUUGGACAAUGGGCGCAAGCCUGAUCCAGCCACGCCGCGUGAGUGAUGAAGGCCUUCGGGUCGUAAAGCUCUGUGGGGAGGGACGAACCGCUGCACGUUCAUAGCGUGCAGCAUGACGGUACCUCCUUAGCAAGCACCGGCUAACUUCGUGCCAGCAGCCACGAUAAUACAAAAAAUACAAACAUUACUCAGAAUUAUUAAACAUAAAGCGCACAUAGGCGGCUUGACAAGUCAGAUGUGAAAUCCCUCGGCUCAACCAAGGAAGUGCAUCCGAAACUGUCGAGCUUGGGUAAGAAGGAGGAUCGAGGAAUUCCCGGUGUAGAGGUGAAAUUCGUAGAUAUCGGGAGGAACACCAAUAACGAAGGCGACGAUCUGGGUAGAUACUGACGCUGAGGUGCGAAAGCGUGGGGAGCAAACA